UUCCAUUCAGAGGAGGAAAUAUUUAUACAACAGCUGGAAAUCACCAAAGAUAUUCAAGAGCUCCUUUCACAACUAAAACCACCUCUUAUCAGCAGAACUUACUCACUGAGUUCAACAGCCCUGAACUUGAAGCCAAAGAGUCAUUUACAAUCGUGAGCUGCUAGCCAUGCUUCACUGCUAUGGACCCAAGAACUCUUAAUUCCCAGUACUGUCUGACUUCACAGUGGCAUCCCUCCAGAGGCACGAUCGAUGGCAUCUUGAAGAACUAAGACUGUGCAUCAACCUCAGAAGCUUCCUCUACGCAGCUGAGAUAUUACUGGACUUGUGUUUUCAUGGAGCAGUCUGCAUGCAGUGAAUACUUCCGGACAGGAUGACUGCUAUUCAGUGUUACCAGAGUGGAGGAGGAGCAGCAGCAGCAACAGCAAAUCCCACGGAACCCACGGCAUUUUGAGAACUGCCUUGGCAGACAAGUACAACACCAUGAGAGGAAAGCACCCAACAAAGAUGGAGGCAGAAUUCUAUCCCACACCCGUCAUAUUCUGUGUCACCUUUCCUGCUUUUGUGACCUCUGCUCUCUCUGUGAUGACCUGGGGUUUCAAACAUUCAAUCCCUAAAUUUUGUGACAAACUAA